UAAGGAAUAUUGCGCAAUGGACGAAAGCCUGAUGCAGCAACGCCGCGUGCGGGAAGAAGGCCCUCGGGUUGUAAACCGCUUUCAGAAGGAACGAAACUGACGGUACUUUCAGAAGAAGGUGCGGCCAACUACGUGCCAGCAGCCGCGGUGACACGUAGGCACCAAGCGUUGUCCGGAUUUAUUGGGCGUAAAGAGCUCGUAGGCGGUUGCGUAAGUCGGAUGUGAAAACUCAGGGCUCAACCCUGAGACGCCAUCCGAUACUGCGCUGACUUGAAUCCAGUAGGGGAGUGUGGAAUUCCUGGUGUAGCGGUGAAAUGCGCAGAUAUCAGGAGGAACACCCAUGGCGAAGGCAGCACUCUGGGCUGGUAUUGACGCUGAGGAGCGAAAGCAUGGGUAGCGAACAGGAUUAGAUACCCGGGUAGUCCCUGAGCGGGCUGGCAAGGCGCAU
rnacentral:rRNA from 1 species